rnacentral:snRNA from 1 species
GGAUAUGAGGGCAGUCUGGUUGUGACAUCUGUCGCCCCACUGAUUGCCAGUGUUGAUUCGGCUAAUCUGGCUGGCUAGGCGGGUGUUCUCUCCCUCCCUCAAAGAUCCAUGUGCAUCCCUCCCGAAGCUGCACGCUUGGUCGAAGAGGAUGACCACCCCAGACGGAUAAAAGGAGGGCUCAUGCUGUAGGGAGUAUUUUAUGCUUACUUUUACACAUAAAAAUUUAAUCCUUAAUAUAUUU